rnacentral:rRNA from 1 species
GACAGAGGGUGCAAACGUUGUUCGGAAUUACUGGGCGUAAAGCGCGUGUAGGCGGCUAUGCAAGUCGGGCGUGAAAUCCCUCGGCUUAACCGGGGAACUGCGUCUGAUACUGGAUGGCUAGAGUUUGGGAGAGGGAUGCGGAAUUCCAGGUGUAGCGGUGAAAUGCGUAGAUAUCUGGAGGAACACCGGUGGCGAAGGCGGCAUCCUGGACCAACACUGACACUGAAAAGCGAAAGCCAGGGGAGCAAACGGG